rnacentral:rRNA from 1 species
CCUACGGGAGGCAGCAGUGAGGAAUAUUGGUCAAUGGACGAGAGUCUGAACCAGCCAAGUAGCGUGAAGGAUGACUGCCCUAUGGGUUGUAAACUUCUUUUAUAUGGGAAUAAAAUGUUCCACGUGUGGGAUUUUGUAUGUACCAUAUGAAUAAGGAUCGGCUAACUCCGUGCCAGCAGCCGCGGUAAUACGGAGGAUCCGAGCGUUAUCCGGAUUUAUUGGGUUUAAAGGGAGCGUAGGUGGAUUGUUAAGUCAGUUGUGAAAGUUUGCGGCUCAACCGUGAAAUUGCAGUUGAAACUGGCAGUCUUGAGUACAGUAGAGGUGGGCGGAAUUCGUGGUGUAGCGGUGAAAUGCUUAGAUAUCACGAAGAACUCCGAUUGCGAAGGCAGUUCACUGGACUGCAACUGACACUGAGGCUCGAAAGUGUGGGUAUCAAACAGGAUUAGAUACCCCUGUAGUC